UACAGAGGGGGCAAGCGUUGUUCGGAAUUACUGGGCGUAAAACGUGCGCAGGCGGUGAUGUAAGACAGGUGUGAAAUCCCCGGGCUUAACCUGGGAACUGCAUUUGUGACUGCAUUGCUGGAGUGCGGCAGAGGGGGAUGGAAUUCCGCGUGUAGCAGUGAAAUGCGUAGAUAUGCGGAGGAACACCGAUGGCGAAGGCAAUCCCCUGGGCCUGCACUGACGCUCAUGCACGAAAGCGUGGGGAGCAAACAGG
rnacentral:rRNA from 1 species